AGAUAAUAAUGUAUCUCAUCAGUCAUGAAUUGCACAAAUUAAUCUUCAGAUAGGGGCAUGUCAUACAAGAAUUUACAUGCUAGCACUUUAAUUGUCAGAAGCUAGUUUCUAUUAGGCAGAUGGACUGUGAAUGAGUAACAGCAUUUCCCAUUAGUGGAGGGAAAAAGAAAAAUGAAGAGUUUGAGAAGAAAUUAAUGUAUUGAGAAACACAAAAUUUUCUUGAACGGAUUGAAAGGUCCUUGAAAUCCAUUAAGAUCUCAAGGAUUUAUUUGGAACCCACAAAUGCAACGAAGAGAAAAUUCAUCAACAGUCAAUCAAAAUUCAACCAGUAGGCGUAAGCUUGACAAAAAUGUCUGACCCACAUAUCAACAGGACUUUUGGUGACCUGAGAGCAGAAAUCAGGAGGAGUUCAGCUGAAGCACUGACAGCAUCUCUGAGCUGGAAUAAUAUGCAUUGUGGUGGGGCCCCGACCUCUGCUUGGACUUCCAGCUCGGUGAUUCACCACGGCUCUGCCACCUGCUUUCUCUGGAACUGUGAGCCGAAACCCCAGCUGAAAACAGCUCAUGUGGAGACGCAGAGAGCUGCUGUCCCCACAGCCCACUUCUGCUCAGGCUCCCAGCCCUGAAUGACAGCUGUGGGGUUAUAUUUAUCACAGGAGUUGAACUAAUGCAAAGCCUGAAUGAGGCCAAAAGUCAGUCCUGUCCAUCAGAGAGCUUCCAGAAGAGACAUGACCACUUUGAUCCUUAAAAAAAGCCUGUGACAGACAGACUCAUGGUUGGUAGUCAUUCUUCAGCACAAAGUAGCUUAACCUUUCUAUAGAAGUUCAUUAUAUCAAGCAAACAAACAAACAAAAAUACACCAAAGUGUACACAUGAUCUCUAUUCCUCAGUUUCGAUAUCCUUGGAUAUGUUGGCCUCUGAGCACCUUGAAAAGGAAGAAACUUUGGACCUGAUUUACUAUUAUAUUCCAAUCCCAUAUAGAGCAUGGAAGAACGAACAUAUCUUUGGUUGAAGAGUUGCUGUGGUAUUGACAGUGACUGGAGGAUUUGCAAAGGUAAAUGGUGUGGAGCACAGGUAUGGCAUGUGCUGAAAUUGUCCCAGGAAAUGAUGAAAGCAACUGAAGCCAAGUAAUUGUUCACGCACAUGACAUAGGAUUUCCUCCUCUUCUGAAAGCAGUGGAAAAUAGUGAAUGAUAGACCCUGUCAACAAAAACCGUAGAACUGGGGAAGAACCCAGCUGUGUUCCUAACCUUCACAUUGAACUAGAAAGUUGAGGAUGUCUGUUCUUAGCUGAAGGAAACUGCAUCAUGGCAAAAUACUUGAUUCACUUAACCUCUGUCCUGUUCUGUCCAGAUGAGACUAACUUCUGUUGCCUGUGGUCAUACUAAAGAGAAGGUCACCUGUUCUGGCUGAGAGCAGAAACUAAACAGUCCUAAGCCAUGUGUUUUGUUAUUUGAUGACUCAGGCACUAAAUGGUGAAUAACAGGAGCUGAAUGUGAUUCAACCCAAACAAAAGUUGAACUCUUUCCCAAUGCUGCAUUAUUGUCAGACAUUCCUGAAUAAGUGGUACAACCUUAUGCAAAAUCCAAACAAACCUAGCAUGUGAAAAUGGCAUUUAAGCCUGAAUAAAGUGUUAAAAUAAACAUAUUAGGCAGCAAGGAUAUGUUUUGUAAACACAUCAGGAUUUGUGAACAGAUUGUCAUAUUACAUUAAAACCAUUUAAAACCCCA